GGGUUGUGAGGUUAAGCGACUAAGCGUACACGGUGGAUGCCCUGGCAGUCAGAGGCGAUGAAGGGCGUGCUAAUCUGCGAUAAGCGCCGGUAAGGUGAUAUGAACCGUUAUAACCGGCGAUACCCGAAUGGGGAAACCCAGU
rnacentral:rRNA from 9 species